CACCAGGGAGCGGGUUUGAAUUGGUGCAAAACACACCUGCAAAGCACUGUGCCUUGGAAAAAGCAAACCCUACAGUUAUGAUGCGGGGGAUGCUUGGCUCAGCAAUACCAUGAGCAAGAAGUCUCUUGGAAUCAUUGUAGAUCACAAGCUGAACAUGAGCCAACGGAGCAUUCUGUUUCCAUAGUGACCAACCAGAAGGCUUUACAAGAGACGGGGCCAGCAGGGCUAUUUGGCUUGGGCCUCACCUCACCAGGAGGAGACUCAUUUCACCCAAGGGGUACAUUCAUGAAAUAUAUAUCCACACAUGAGCUGAUUCUUCAUAGUAUUACAAACUGCAAAUAGCUCGCCGUUUUCUUCUGAAUUGGGCCCAACGAUUCUCCUCAUGGAAGAUUCCUUUAGCUGAGUUUUGAGGACAACAUCACAGCUCACACAUUCAGCUGACCUUCCCCGCCCUUUGCACUGCAUUUUCAGAAAGCUACAGCAGCUUCUAGGCAAAGGAAAAGGCAGGAAAGUUUACUUGUGCCACCCCUGUUGAAAAUACCCAAACAUAGAUCCAACUCAUUCGAAUCAUGGAACAGCCAGAGCUAAUGCUAC